rnacentral:rRNA from 1 species
UACGUAGGGGGCAAGCGUUGUCCGGAAUCAUUGGGCGUAAAGCGCGUGUAGGCGGCUCGGUAAGUCCGCUCUGAAAGUCCAGGGCUCAACCCUGGGAUGCGGGUGGAUACUGCCGAGCUCGAGUCCGGAAGAGGCGAGUGGAAUUCCUGGUGUAGCGGUGAAAUGCGCAGAUAUCAGGAGGAACACCAAUGGCGAAGGCAGCUCGCUGGGACGUGACUGACGCUGAGGCGCGACAGCGUGGGGAGCAAACAGG